rnacentral:lncRNA from 1 species
CAACAGGUAUGGAGGUGGUGCCAACUCUGUUGCUGAUGGCUACAACAAUGGUACUGCUUUGGGUGCUGAGAUUAUUGGUACCUUCGUUCUUGUCUACACUGUCUUCUCUGCCACUGACCCUAAGAGGAACGCUAGGGACUCCCAUGUUCCUGUAAGCAUACAUACAUUAUUAGUCAUCUUUAACCAUAAAUUAUUAUAUGGUCCCAAACUAUUAUAUGAUCUAAAGAUGUAUUUUAUUAAAUUUUCUUUGUAAAUUGAAAAAUUCAUUUUACGUGAAAAUUACCUGUGAGACCUUAUAUACAUGGUGGUAGUUACUGAUGAUAUAAUAAUUUUUCCAUCCAUGAUUCAUCAUAUUUUUCUCUUACUCUAUGUCUCACUUUUCUAUUUAUUAAUCUCUUUGCUUUAUGCAAAAAGGUACUGGCAC